GUCCACCACCCCCGACUGAAGUCGGAGGCUUGCCGCAAGUCCAGCCCAGGUUGACCAGGGAAAGCGCUAACCAACCCGCUACGUUGCAUGGAGAGCAAAAGACCGACAUCGGGAUGCUUCUUUAGUCCCGGCCUCUCGAUGCCCAGGGUUGCAGACAACCCCGAGGGCAAGAGUGCUGGUGGGCUCCGGCAGAAGGCCGACAUGCAACAUUCCCGAGGGGAGAGGCCCCGAAAGGAGCGCCGC
ncrna:Methylacidiphilum infernorum V4 HNH endonuclease-associated RNA and ORF (HEARO) RNA